CUUCCCCAUUCCCCUUUUCCCCUCCCAUUUUGUUAAGGACAUUUUGUUAAGUAUCCUGUUUGCUGAGAUUUUCCAGCAUUCAGAGAGAAUAUUUGUAAAUCCUGUAUAUUUGUUAGGCUAAGAAUUGUAAGAAGCUAGAAUAAUUACUGUUUAAAUACUCUCAAUCUCAGUGAUUGAAGUUUGUCUUCCUGUGCUUACUCCAGGAGGCUGAAGUCUAUUAGAUAAUAUAACAAAGUACUGUUAUUUUAAUGUAUAAUUUAUUAGAAGAUGGCAUACAAUAUAUGUUAAUGUUAUAGCAUAUUUAAUAGUUGAUUGAACACUGUAGCAAAUAAUUUAGAUAAAAACUG
rnacentral:lncRNA from 1 species